rnacentral:rRNA from 1 species
GACGAACGCUGGCGGCGUGCUUAACACAUGCAAGUCGAACGAUGAACCCGGAGCUUGCUCCGGUGGAUCAGUGGCGAACGGGUGAGUAACACGUGAGUAACCUGCCCUUGACUCUGGGAUAACUGCGGGAAACUGUAGCCAAUACCGGAUACGACCCUCGGCGGCAUCGCCAGGGGGUGGAAAGAAUUUCGGGCAAGGAUGGACUGGCGGCCUAUCAGCUAGUUGGUGGGGUAACGGCUCACCAAGGCGACGACGGGGAGACGGCCUGCGAGGGUGGCCGGCCACACUGGGACUGAGACACGGCCCAGACUCCUACGGGAGGCAGCAGUGGGGAAUAUUGCACAAUGGGCGCAAGCCUGAUGCAGCAACGCCGCGUGAGGGAUGACGGCCUUCGGGUUGUAAACCUCCUUUAGUAGGGAAGAAGCGAAAGUGACGGUACCUGCAGAAAAAGCACCGGCUAACUACGUGCCAGCCGCCGCGGUAA